rnacentral:rRNA from 1 species
GACGAACGCUGGCGGCGUGCUUAACACAUGCAAGUCGAACGGAAAGGCCCUGCUUUUUUGGGGUUCUCGAGUGGCGAACGGGUGAGUAGCACGUGAGUAACCUGCCCUUGACUUUGGGAUAACUUCAGGAAACUGGGGCUAAUACCGGAUAGGAUCUCCUGCUGCAUGGUGGGGGUUGGAAAGUUUCGGCUGUUGGGGAUGGACUCGCGGCUUAUCAGCUUGUUGGUGGGGUAGUGGCUUACCAAGGCAUUGACGGGUAGCCGGCCUGAGAGGGUGACCGGCCACAUUAGGACUGAGAUACGACCCAGACUCGUACGGGAGGCAGCGGUGGGGAAUAGUGCACAGUGGGAGGAAGCAUGGUGCAGCAACGCCGCGUGCGGGAUGACGGCAUUCGGGUAGUAAACCGCUUUAGCCUGUGACGAAGCGUGAGUGACGGUAAUGGGAAAAGAAGCACCGGCUAACUACGUG